rnacentral:rRNA from 1 species
UACGUAGGGUGCAAGCGUUGUCCGGAAUUAUUGGGCGUAAAGAGCGCGUAGGCGGCCCGGUAAGUCCGCUGUAAAAGUCAAAGGCUCAACCUUUGAAUGUCAGUGGAUACUGCCGGGCUAGAGUCCGGAAGAGGCGAGUGGAAUUCCUGGUGUAGCGGUGGAAUGCGCAGAUAUCAGGAGGAACACCAACGGCGAAGGCAGCUCGCUAGGACGGUACUGACGCUGAGGCGCGAAAGCGUGGGGAGCGAACAGG